ACGUAGGUGGCAAGCGUUGUCCGGAUUUAUUGGGUUUAAAGGGUGCGUAGGUGGUCUUAUAAGUCAGUGGUGAAAUACUUCAGCUCAACUGGAGAGGUGCCAUUGAUACUGUUAGACUUGAGUACAGACGAGGUAGGCGGAAUUGACGGUGUAGCGGUGAAAUGCUUAGAUAUCGUCAAGAACACCGAUAGCGAAGGCAGCUUACUAGACUGUAACUGACACUGAGGCACGAAAGUGUGGGGAUCAAACAGG
rnacentral:rRNA from 1 species